UCUGUUACUCUACACAUUAAUAUACGCAGACAAAAUACGUUUUUAGAUAUAUAUUUUAAUAAUUAUAUUCAGUGGAGUUGGUUUAGACCUGAAGAUUCUCACAAUGUUAGAAUCGUUGAACAAGAUGUGAAGACAGGUGAUAUUAAAUAUUAUCAUGACGAGAUAUUCAGUGACAGACUACAGAUGGACAAUCAAACUGGAUCUCUGACCAUCAGGAACAUCAGAACAACAGACUCUGGACUUUAUCAAAUGAGGAGUCGAUUCUCAGUAGAAUCAUUCAAUGUUACAGUCUACGAUGUGUUCACUGUUAACUGUUGUGGUUUCACCGAAGCUGUGAUUCGAUUGGUCAUCUCUGCUGUGGUGGGCGUGGCUACUGUUGCAAUCGUGGUGUAUGACAUCAGAUCCAGAAGAGCGGAGCAGCUAAGCAAAGAGAAACCAUGAGAUUGGAGAUUAAAUGUUAUUUUGAAAAUCUUAAGAAACAGAUAAUUUUUUUUGUGUGAAACUAUUAUUUCAACCACCAAACAAAUGUAAUGGUAGUUCUGCUUUCUUUUUCUUUGUAUUUUUUCCCCCAUUUAAAAUUGGGAAAUAUGAAAAAAUUCAUGAAGACGGACUGCAAGUUUCUGUUCUCUAUAAUACUAGAACACUAAUUAAAAAUAAAUAAAAUAAACAGCAACAACACAAUCUAUAUUUAGCCUAAUUUAAAUGGUAAUAAUUCAUCUUGAACUCAAUCAAUCAAUCAUGGCAGCUGAACAAUGAUUAAAUUGACUUUUCUGAUUUGUGUGAAAUAUACCUUUUAUUUUAUGAAAGUUACAGGUGAGAGUUUAUUACUCAUGAUCCUUGCUGCACAUAUCUUUUGAUUAAAAUGCAGUCAACGUUCAGUCUAAACUUGAAGAUCAUGACUCUGAACACAUCUAUUAAUGCUAAAGAGGAAAUGAUGGUGAAAGACCAACAUAAAUAGUCGAGCUGACUUGGCCCACUGCCUGUUUUAUUUUUUUAUUUUUUGAUAUGUGAUAUACUGUAUAUAGGAAAGGAAAAUGGAAGUGAAGGUGCAGUGCAAGAGAAAGGCCAAGGCAGCGGGCAAAGGAUUUAGACCAUUUUGUAAUGUGAUGGCCGUACAAAUAAUAGGAUUGUCUGGUUUCACACAUUGCUGUGGAUGUAUAGGCUAUACACAGGCUAUAACAAGGGGCCAAAAUUGCACCUUUUGGGGUACAACAGCUUGUCACUGGAACAAUAGUUUUGCAGUAGCUAGACAAUCAAACUGACAGCUGAAGGUCUGGAAUCCGUGGCAGCUUUCAUUAGCCAAGGCCCGUCCAUAAGGGCGUUUGACCGAUAUAUCAAACAACCAAUCACAGUUCGUUUAGUUUCAGCGUCACACACCGGGGCAUGGAAAUGUCGCCACAAUUACAACUCUCCGAUGUAUUUUAAAGAUUCUAUGCCGCAAACUUAAAAUAUUUCACAUACUUUUGAAUAUCCAGAGUUUAGCUGACCCUGAUAAGCGCUCUUCGUCACAGUUGUACACAUGAUGGCUUUCUUCUUUCGUCAGGGGGUUUGGCUUCACGGCAUCUUUGUAUCCGAACAGAACGUUAAAGAACGCGACAUAGACUUCUCCCGGAAGUCCUGUAGUAAUCUUCCAAUCUGAUGACGACUUCGACACUCCUGAAGUGUUUCCACUUUUUGUGUCCCAUAUGCAUCAUACGGUUAGCCAACGGUUGGUGGGCCUGAUGUCUGAGACUACUGGAACAAGACCCUUAAAAGGACAUAUCUGCUACAGUGUCAAGCUGUUGUACCCAAAAAGAUGGAGUGAAGAGAGUGUACACGGUGGAGGGAGACUCAGUCACUCUAAACACUGAUGUUCAUGAUAUAGACAGAAAUAUGUAUCAUAUAUUGUGGGGGUUUGGACCUGAAUGUACUUUUAUAGCGGAAUGGUAUGCUGAAGUCAUGUAUCAUUUCAAUCAAAAAUUUGGAGGCAGACUACAAAUGGACCGUCAGACUGGAUCUCUGACCAUCAGGAACAUCAGAACAACAGAUUCUGGACUUUAUCAAUGAGACAUCACAUAUUAUAACCCUUUCUUGCAGAAAACAGUGUUAUUCAAUGUCACUGUCUAUGCUUCCCUGCCCAUACCUGUCAUUAUCAGAAGCUCUUCACAAUGUGCUUCUAAAUCCUCAUCAUCAGGAUCUUUAGGUCAGAAUUGUUCACUGCUGUGUUCAGCUGUGAAUGUGGGUGCUGUGACUCUCUCCUGGUACAAAGGAAACAGUUUAUUGUCCCGCAUCAGUGUGUCUGAUCUCAGCAACAGUAUAUCUCUACCUCUGGAGGUGGAAUAUCAGGAGAACAACACCUACAGCUGUAGAGUAAACAAUUCCAUUAGUGACCAGUCUACAGAUCUCAACAUCACUGAACAUUGUCAACCAUGUCCAGACUCCAUUCACUGUUGCGGUUUUACUGAAGCUGUGAUUCGUUUGGUCCUCUCUGGUGUGGUGGGCGUGGCUACUGUUAUCAUGGUGGUUUAUGAUAUCAGAUUCAGAACAGCUGAAAAGAAGCGAAGAACAUAACAAUCAGUCACUGGCUUUGAAAAACAGGAAAUUAAUAAACUCGAUGUAAACAAAGUUCUUUUUCUUUUUUUCUUAUUUGCUUAAAGUUGUUUAAAAAAUGACAGUACAUAUUGUUCGCAAGCUGGUGAUGUAUGAAUUGUGACUGAAUUGUUGUUUUGACUCAGUUCUUUUUAAUGAAUAGGCCUAAGUCCCAAUGAUUUCCAUAGCAAAGAGGUCUGCAUCAAGACGAAUUUUAUCCAAUAACCAAAAAAAAAAAAAAAA